GUAGUACUCCCUCCGUCCCAAAAUUCUUGUCUUAGAUUUGUCUAAAUACGGAUGUAUCAAGUCACAUUUUAGUAUUAGGUACAUCCGUAUCUAGACAAAUCUAAGACAAGAAUUUUGGGACGGAGGGAGUAGUAA
rnacentral:pre_miRNA from 1 species